AGAGUUUGAUCCUGGCUCAGGACGAACGCUGGCGGCGUGCCUAGUACAUGCAAGUCGAGCGGACCUUUCGGGGUCAGCGGCGGACGGGUGGGUAACACGUGGGCAAUCUGCCCGAUACUCUGGGAUAACGCUUGGAAACGAGUGCUAAUACCGGAUGGUCUUCUUGGUCGCAUGGCCGAGAAGGAAAAGACGCGUUCGCGUCGGUGUCGGAUGAGCCCGCGGCGCAUUAGCUAGUUGGUGAGGUAACGGCCCACCAAGGCGACGAUGCGUAGCCGACCUGAGAGGGUGACCGGCCACACUGGGACUGAGACACGGCCCAGACUCCUACGGGAGGCAGCAGUAGGGAAUCUUCCACAAUGGGCGAAAGCCUGAUGGAGCAACGCCGCGUGAGUGAUGAAGGCCUUCGGGUUGUAAAACUCUGUCAUUCGGGACGAAC
rnacentral:rRNA from 1 species